UUAGUCAUUCUUGUUCAAGAAUUUUCUUUCAUAAGUCCAUAAAAACUUAGGCUCUCCAAAUAGCUCUUCUUGCCUACAAUCUUAAAUGGCAAAUAGAAGUUUCUACACGUUCUCGUGCCGGGAAAAAAUGUCCCUACUUCUUCAAACCUUACUCCAUCUAUACAUUUUUAUGAUGAUGGAUCCAUUCUUUGGUUUGAACAAGAAAAUGAGCUAUAUCGUUUCAUUCAAAUAUUUGAAAAUCGAGCCAUUCCUUCAUCUCGAUCCACCAGCGCUAAAUAUCUCGCUGAUUUUUUCUUCAUAUACACUUCUCCAAAGUUCAUCUCUUAACUU
rnacentral:lncRNA from 1 species